CCGAGUUCGUGCCCUCGCGGGUCGACCUCCCACCCUUGAAUACCAUACCCUUGUUGCUUUGGCAGGCCGUGGCCACACCGCGGGCUCCGGCCGGCGAGCGCCUGCCAGAGGAGACCAACCCUGCCCUCCGUGCCGUCUGAGUACUAGAUAAUAGUUA
rnacentral:misc_RNA from 1 species